CCUACGGGGAGCAGCAGUGAGGAAUAUUGGUCAAUGGUCGGGAGACUGAACCAGCCAAGCCGCGUGAGGGAUGAAGGUACAGAGUAUCGUAAACCUCUUUUGUCAGGGAACAAAGGCGGGGACGUGUCCCCGGAUGAGUGUACCUGAAGAAAAAGCAUCGGCGAACUCCGUGCCAGCCGCCGCGGUAAUACGGAGGAUGCGAGCGUUAUCCGGAUUUAUGGGGUUUAAAGGGUGCGUAGGCGGACUGUUAAGUCAGCGGUAAAAGCCCGGGGAUCAACCCCGGCCCGCCGUUGAAACUGGCGGUCUCGAGUUGGAGAGAAGUAUGCGGAAGGCGCGGUGUAGCGGUGAAAUGCAUAGAUAUCGCGCAGAACUCCGAUUGCGAAGGCAGCAUGCCGGCUCCACACUGACGCUGAGGCACGAAAGCGUGGGUAUCGAACAGGAUUAGAUACCCCUGUAGUC
rnacentral:rRNA from 1 species